GGGCACGUAGCUCAGCGGUAGAGCGCUCGCUUAGCAUGCGAGAGGUCGUGAGUUCGACUCUUACCCUGUCCA
rfam:Dacryopinax sp. DJM-731 SS1 chromosome Tnknown DACRYscaffold_8, whole genome shotgun sequence.